rnacentral:rRNA from 1 species
GACGAACGCUGGCGGCGUGCCUAAUACAUGCAAGUCGAACGCAGUGGGGACGGGUGAGUAACACGUGGGUAACCUCCCAUCAGAGGGGAUAAAACUUGGAAACAGGUGCUCAAACCGAUAAUGAUGGAUGGACCCGCGGUGCAUUAGCUAGUUGGUGGGGGAAAGGCUCACCAAGGCCACGAUGCAUAGCUGAUCUGAGAGGGUGAUCGGCCACAAUGGGACUGAGACACGGCCCAGACUCCUACGGGAGGCAGCAGUAGGGAAUAUUCGGCAAUGGGCGAAAGUCUGACCGAGCAACGCCGCGUGAGUGAAGAAGUUUUUCGGAUCGUAAAACACUGUUGUUAGAGAAGCGGUAUCUAACCAGAAAGCCACGGCUAACUACGUGCCAGCCGCCGCGGUAAUAC